CACGAAUUAUCUCCGUAACGACAGAUUGUUUAAUUGGGUUGCUCGGUUUUCUGCCAUACAGGAAUGCACGAGUUUCCCGGAAACAGAAUGGAAUGAAAUGGCAUUUUACAGGAAUCUAACAAUUUCUAAAAAGCAUUUGAAAAGGAUGGAUUGCUAGACACAUUCGACCUUUACCGGAUAAAACAAGCAUAUUAACGAAAUCCAUAACGCGUUAACUUCUAUAACUUCUCAGAUAUCACAAACAGUGACUCAUACAGUAAAUACAACUUUGUUCGAACUACACACCGCUUUGCGAGCAGAGUCGAGGGGAGGCGGAUUUUGAAAACACGGCACCCGACACUUUGCAGAUCAAAAUAAUGGGUGAAUAAUCAUCGAAGCAAGUAUAAAUGUUUGAAAUGAGUGACUGAAUCUGGCGUUUCAAACGAGCACUGUGUCAGCACUGCAUCAACUCAGAAUGGGAAACAAAUGUGAAAUCACAGGUCACAUUGACAGGUUACUGUAAAUUACAUUUAUACUAUGAGCACUAAAACAGAUGGAUAUAAUGUGCCUCACCCACUGCAGAACCACACACACUUUCUGGAAGCCCCUCUCGAUCAAAUCUUCUGGGUAAUACAGAUGGAGGAUAACAAACUAUGAAGAGGAGGAAAGCAGGCCUGUACAAAAGAAAGCAAAUCACUUGACCUCACUGUGUUUUACAGGACCGGCAUCAGCAGAGACCUUGGGCAGGGUGGGAUGCUGUAGCUCUGAUUCAGGGAGUUCAUUUACUGAGGGAUCUUUCAUGCAAGUUAUUUCUUCCAGUUAAUAAAACCGAAACUCACAAUUAGAAAUGCAUGAAGAAACACAGUUAAUAUGUCUUCUCCAGGCCUAUUACCCCUGAUAAAGGGAAUUUUGCGGUCUUGAAACCUUUUAUAAAGUCUUACCUGUACAUGUUGUCACAUUAAAAUCAAUUGUGAUGCUU